rnacentral:tRNA from 5 species
GGGUGCUUAGCUCAAUUGGUAGAGCAUCGCCCUUACAAGGCGAGGGUUAUAGGUUCGAGUCCUAUAGUACCCACCA